AGAGUUUGAUCAUGGCUCAGGACGAACGCUGGCGGCGUGCUUAACACAUGCAAGUCGCGCGAUUCUCGAAGUUCGGGGUUGGGAGUUCGAACCUCGAACUUCGAACCUCGAACUUCGAGAAUAGCGGCGGACGGGUGAGUAACACGUGGAUAACCUACCCAUUAGACCAGGAUAACACCGGGAAACUGGUGCUAAUACCGGAUAAGCUCUUUAGAGUAAAAGCCUUAAAGAGGAAAGGGGAAACUCACUAAUGGAUGGGUCCGCGUCCUAUUAGCUAGUUGGUAGGGUAACGGCCUACCAAGGCGACGAUGGGUAGCCGGCCUGAGAGGGUGACCGGCCACACUGGGACUGAGACACGGCCCAGACUCCUACGGGAGGCAGCAGUGGGGAAUAUUCCGCAAUGGGGGAAACCCUGACGGAGCAAUGCCGCGUGAGUGAAGAAGGCCUUUGGGUCGUAAAACUCUGUCUUGAGGGACGAAAAAGAUGACGGUACCUCAAAAGAAAGCCCCGGCUAACUACGUGCCAGCAGCCGCGAUAAAACGUAGGGGGCGAGCGUUGUCCGGAAUUACUGGGCGUAAAGGGUGUGUAGGCGGCCUGUGUAGUC
rnacentral:rRNA from 1 species